rnacentral:rRNA from 1 species
UGCCUAAUACAUGCAAGUCGAGCGAGAAGACCCGGGCAACUGGGUUUGUAAAGCGGCAGACGGGUGCGUAACACGUGGAUAAUUUACCUGAAAGUUGGGGAUAAGCCCUCGAAAGGGGGUCUAAUACCGGAUGUGGAAUUCUGGCGGCAUCGCCGGAAUUCUAAAGCUGGCCUCUACUUGUAAGCUAGCGCUUUCAGAUGAAUCCGCGCCCGAUUAGCUAGUUGGCGGGAUAACAGCCCACCAAGGCAACGAUCGGUAGCCGACCUAAGAGGGUGUACGGCCACACUGGGACUGAGAUACGGCCCAGACUCCUACGGGAGGCAGCAGUAGGGAAUAUUGGACAAUGGACGAAAGUCUGAUCCAGCAACGCCGCGUGGAGGAUGAAGUCCUUCGGGAUGUAAACUCCUGUCAGAAGGGACGAAACUUCUCCCGAUGAAUAAUCGGGAGAAUUGACGGUACUUUCAGAGGAAGCACCGGCUAACUCCGUGCCAGCAGCCGCGGUAAUACGGGGGGUGCAAGCGUUGUUCGGAAUUACUGGGUGUAAAGGGCAGGUAGGCGGGCCAAUAAGUCGAAUGUGAAAACCCCGGGCUUAACCCGGGGCUGGCAUCCGAAACUGUUGGUCUUGAGUAUGGGAGAGGAAGAUGGAAUUCCUGGUGUAACGGUGAAAUGUGUAGAUAUCAGGAGGAACACCGGUGGCGAAGGCGGUCUUCUGGCCCACUACUGACGCUGAUCUGCGAAAGCUAGGGUAGCAAACAGGAUUAGAUACCCUGGUAGUCCUAGCCGUAAACGUUGGUCACUAGGUGUUGGAUCCCUGAUAAGGGUUCAGUGCCGCAGCUAACGCAUUAAGUGACCCACCUGGGGACUACGGCCGCAAGGUUGAAACUCAAAGGAAUUGACGGGGGCCCGCACAAGCGGUGGAGUAUGUGGUUCAAUUCGACGCAACGCGAAGGACCUUACCUGGGUUUGACAUCCCGUUGAAAGCCCAAGAGAUUGGGUCCGGUAGCAAUACCCAACGGGACAGGUGCUGCAUGGCUGUCGUCAGCUCGUGCCGUGAGGUGUUGGGUUAAGUCCCGCAACGAGCGCAACCCCUGUUUCUAGUUGCCACCUGGCCGCAAGGCUGGAGCACUCUAGAAAGACCGCCAGUGAUAAGCUGGAGGAAGGUGGGGAUGACGUCAAGUCCUCAUGGCCCUUAUGUCCAGGGCUACACACGUACUACAAUGGCCGGUACAGAAGGAUGCCAAACCGCGAGGUGGAGCAAAUCCCCAAAGCCGGCCUCAGUUCAGAUUGCAGUCUGCAAUUCGACUGCAUGAAGGCGGAAUCGCUAGUAAUCGCGGAUCAGCAGGUCGCGGUGAAUACGUUCCCGGGCCUUGCACACACCGCCCGUCAC